AUUGAACGCUGGCGGCAGGCCUAACACAUGCAAGUCGAGCGGAGCGGCGGACGGGUGAGUAAUGCCUAGGAAUCUGCCUGGUAUUGGGGGAUAACGUCCGGAAACGGGCGCUAAUACCUCAUACGAUCAGAUGAGCCUAGGUCGGCUUAGCUAGUUGGUGGGGUAAAGGCCUACCAAGGCGACGAUCCGUACCUGGUAUGAGGGGAUGAUCAGUCACACUGGAACGGAGAAACGGUCCAGACUCCUACGGGAGGCAGCAUGGGGGAAUAUUGGAUAAUGGGAGAAAGCCUGAUCCAGCCAUGCCGCGUGUGUGAAGAAGUUCUUCGGAUUGUAAAGCAAUUUAAGUUGGGAGGCGUUACCAACAGAAUAAGCACCGGCUAACUUCGUGCCAGCAGCCGCGGUAAUAC
rnacentral:rRNA from 1 species